GCGUGUCCUGAGGCUUGGUUUGCCAGUUGAUAAAGUGGAAGUUUGGCAUCCAGACACUGUAGCUCUCAUUUCCCGUUGGAGUAAAGACACAGAUGCUCUUUUCCAUGGUCUCGUGUUUUCCUUGCUUUCAGCAAGGCAGGUUUCUGGCUGACUGGGCCUGUGUCCUCCUCCGUUGGAGGCGGUUGUGAAUGUGGCAGGAUUUAUUCAUCCUCAGGGGACUUUUCCAAGUCUGUGUUUAUGCGGUGGGUUAUGGGAGGCUGAGGGUGAGACUUAGAUGGAAAAUUGCUUGACGAGACGUGGACACUGCCUGAGGCUCAGCCUCCCCGGCUUCAGUUCUCUGACGUGACGCUUUGUGUGCAUUGAACAGGCAAUUUCCAUGGUCAGAAACAAACUGGGUGACGCCCAGGUUCCAGGGCCUCCCACCGGUGUGCACGCUUCCGAGAUCAGCAGAAACUAUGUCGUCCUCAGCUGGGAGCCACCCACUCCCCGUGGCAAGGACCCGCUCAUGUACUUCAUUGAGAAGUCGGUGGUGGGGAGCGGCAGCUGGCAGAGAGUCAACGCCCAGACGGCUGUGAGAUCC
rnacentral:misc_RNA from 1 species